UUGCCCCCCGCCCCGCUCCCGGCCUCCGUACACACACUGCGCCUUUCACACUCGGGCUGCCCCCGGCCCCCCUCCCCUUCUCUCUCCUUUGCAGUGUCUUCACAUGCAAUCUCUCUCUGAAUGUGCAAUGUCUUUCCUGCUCGGGAGUGCCUCGUCCUUCACAGUGGAUUGGUUCCUCUUUCCGAGCAGAGUGAUUGGAAAGACGGGGUCACGGCUGAAAUACGCAGUGUUUGUUCGGCUGCGUCCCGGCGAACCCUACGCCCUCCGCCUUCAGCCCGGGACGGUUCGGUUCUGCAGUUCGGGAAUGUCGGUGCCUCUGACCAGAGCGUUACCUUUCUGCUCUGCAGUCGGAGCUAACCUCAAGAGACGGGUUAUUUAAUCAUUUAUAUAGCUUUGUACGAUAAUCAAUGCAUAUUGUUAUUAGUUUGUGCGCACACAAGAAAGCACAUCAAAGAAGGCAGAAAAAAAAAAUCAGGUGAGCUAGGAAAUAACAUAUUCAUAAUAAUACCAGGAAAAGGUUAAAUACAGUAAACAUGACAGCAAACUCGAACGCGGGGGAAAAACAACGAAAAAAGCCCCACAGAAAUCAGUUAAAAACGUUUGGCUGAAGGGAGAAACUAACUCAAGAACUCCACCAAGGGACAAACAGGGGAAAUGACACCACAACAGCUCUAAGCCCGAGUUGACCUUUCAUCUCCCUAAAGUGUCCCACUGCUCUGGCGCAGUUCUGUUGUGAUCUCUGCACCUCCCUCUCCCCACCUCCGAGCUCCCGAGUUGGCCGCAGUGUUUGCGCACCGAGGUCGCAGAAUUACAAGGAGGGCUGACACGUGCCCGGUGCCUUUUACAGCUUUGCAGAAACACUCACUGUGUAGCAGUGUGAAGAGGACAGAAAUGAUUAAAUUAUUCAUUGCAGCCUUCCUGAUGGACAUUAAAACUUAAGUGUUUAAAUAAGGAAACCGAAGAUUUUCUUUUAAGCCGAUAAUAACUGCAUCUGUGCUGGUUGAACUGUAUGCUGGCUAAACGUGGAACUGGUUAUGUUGUUUAAAUCCUCUUUUACUCACUGCGAGCAGUUUGAACUGGAUUGCACUACAAGUUACUGUAAGAGCAAACAGAGUUUAAAUCUUACAUAGUUAUAACUGCUUGUUCUUAAAACAGUAUUUGAGGUCUGUUCAAAAUACAAGGUCACUAUUUUUCAUCGACAUCAUUCCACCAACCUGAGUUCUUACAUUUACAAGGAAUCAUUCCAAGUAACAUUAAGUAAAAGUGGUAGUAGCUCAAUUUUUUAUAUUUAUUUACUUCUUUCUGUGUAGAUUGCCUCUACAAUUUGCAAUGAUUAAGCCUGAGGCCUUGACACUUUUCUCUUUUUUUUCUUUUUGUUUGUUUUAAAAAGUCAUAAAUCUGUAGGAUCAGCUCUGAAAGAUCAUUUCCAGACAGCAUUGUUGGCAGUGGUUUUGUUUUGUUUGUUUGUUUUGUUUUGUUUUUUUCAGGUGUCAAAAUAUCCAAGCAUUCACAAACAUGCAGCAGUGUUCCCAGCUGUCUUAUUUUCAGCUGGGACAGAAUAUUAUACUUGAAAUCAGAAGGAAAGAGUAUUGAAAAGUUUUUAAAGUGCAUACAGAUUUUCACGAGGGAAGGCAGAUAUGGGGUAUCUUUAUGCUUUACUGAGAACGACUGGAUUUUCUGAACUUGUAGGAAUACAGACAAGUGCUGCACACUGUUCCACACAUUUAUAGAUUUUUAUUUUUAUUUUUAAUUUAAACUACUGUUCCAUUUCUUUAAAUACAAAGAAAACUGUAGGAAAAAAUAAAAGUAGUUAUGAUGAGCGUGCAUGAAUUCAUAGCAAAACCAGGGAAAAUAUGAAUUAUUAGUAUGCAUUCUACUUUAGGAGAAACAAUGAGACGUUCAGGAAAGAUAAUUAAGUCUGGAUCUAAUUUUAAUGAAAUGUAUGAAAACCAGGUAGCACUGACAAAUAAAGAAAAAUAUGAUAACUGUCUCUGUGAAUAUUAGAUGUGUACAGUUGUUACACGUAUGGACUCACCAGCACAGAACACCACUGUUAAUUUUAGAAAUAAUGUAGGAUUUAUUUAUUUAUUUAUUUAUUUAUUUUGCUACAGCAUUUUAUAUUUUUAAAUGUAUAUUUUUAAAUAUAAAUUUAAUAUCAACAGUGAGCACAUUUAAGGUCUCAAAGCACUGUGUAAAUUAUCUCUGAGAUGGAAGGAACUGCAGUGACCUGUUCAGUCACCCAGUAAGCCACUAACAAAUGUCUCUUUCCAGGUUCCUCAGACCACAGCUUUGCACUUCUGCAGUUUUUGAGUGUAUCCUGGAUUUGGCUUGGUAUUCAUCUCUUAAUACAUGGCAGUUAUUUCCUCUUAUUUUAAUGGACUGCUGGAAAGUCAAAGCAGCUCAUUCUAAAGAGAAUUUAGAACAAAUGUGUGUACCAGAGAACUACACAUACAAAAGAAAGUCUUGUACCCUGCAAUGUACUGGGUACCAGUAAAACAUAUCAAACUGUUAUACUGGAAUAAAGUUAUUCUUAAGUUUUUA